rnacentral:rRNA from 1 species
UACGUAGGUCCCGAGCGUUGUCCGGAUUUAUUGGGCGUAAAGCGAGCGCAGGUGGUUUAUUAAGUCUGGUGUAAAAGGCAGUGGCUCAACCAUUGUAUGCAUUGGAAACUGGUAGACUUGAGUGCAGGAGAGGAGAGUGGAAUUCCUGGUGUAGCGGUGAAAUGCGUAGAUAUCAGGAGGAACACCGGUGGCGAAGGCGGCCUGCUGGACUGCAACUGACGUUGAGGCCCGAAAGCGUGGGGAGCAAACAGG